ensembl:lncRNA
CAAAUAUGCUGUGUAAGCCUUGGAAUCAUGCGAAGACAAGAGAGACACAGAGAGGAAAAAACAGAUGAUGUUAGAGUGGGGACCAUUAUGUUCGGCAGAGGAGAUAUUCCUGGCCCAGUGAAAGGUGAAGGAACUCGACACAUUGGCGAGGACACUGCAGAGGAUGGCUAUAACAUUCAAGCCGACGCUGGUGGGUUGGUGGAUGGACAAGAUGUCAUUGAUGACUCCAGUUCUUCUAAGGCAGCCUGGGCUAGUAUGCGACCAACUGUGUUAUGUACUAAGGACCUCAUGAAGUUCUCGGCACAAGGCCCAGGAUCCUCUUCACUUCAGCUAGACAGAGCAGGAGGAAAACCCCUUUCGCUAAACCAGCUGCCGCAGGACUGCGGUUACUCUGUGUACAGGACUGAACUGGGCCUUCUGUUUCUCAUCCAAUAUGAUGGUUGUGAUGUUAUAAAUCAGGGUGGCAACCAUUUGCUCCAGAUGUUAUGGCAAAGCAAUCCAGUAACCCUUUGUUGCCCUAUGUCAAGCCAAGCCUCACAAUCUCCUAUGGAUCCACCACUUCAGCCUACUCCUGCUCCAACAGAAGCAACUUCAUCCACUGCCUCUAUGCUUCCUCCACAAAAUCAGCAACAGUUGAUGCAGCAGCAACAGUUGAAGCAGUCUUACUUCAUGCACCCAGGAUACUCUAACCCUUUCAUGCCAGUGAAGGAUCCCUCCCAAACUACAGAAGCAGCUUCAUCCACUGCCUCUAUGCUUCCUCCACAAAAUCAGCAACAGUUGAUGCAGCAGCAACAGUUGAAGCAGUCUUACGUCAUGCACCCAGGAUACUCUAACCCUUUCAUGCCAGUGAAGGAUCCCUCCCCAACUACUGAAGCUCCAACUACUGCAGCUCCAACUACUACAGAAGCAACUUCAUCCACUGCAUCUAAGCUUCCUCCACAAAAUCAGCAGCAGCAACAGUUGAUGAAGCCGCAACAGUUGAUGCAGUCUUACUUCAUGCACCCAGGAUACUCUAACCCUUUCAUGCCAGUGAAGGAUCCCUCCCAAACUGCAGAAGCAGCUUCAUCCACUGCCUCUAUGCUUCCUCCACAAAAUCAGCAACAGUUGAUGCAGCAGCAACAGUUGAAGCAGUCUUACUUCAUGCACCCAGGAUACUCUAACCCUUUCAUGCCAGUGAAGGAUCCCUCCCAAACUACUGAAGCUCCAACUACUGCAGCUCCAACUACUACAGAAGCAACUUCAUCCACUGCAUCUAAGCUUCCUCCACAAAAUCAGCAGCAGCAACAGUUGAUGAAGCAGCAACAGUUGAUGCAGUCUUACUUCAUGCACCCAGGAUACUCUAACCCUUUCAUGCCAGUGAAGGAUCCCUCCCAAACUACAGAAGCAGCUUCAUCCACUGCCUCUAUGCUUCCUCCACAAAAUCAGCAACAGUUGAUGCAGCAGCAACAGUUGAAGCAGUCGUACUUCAUGCACCCAGGAUACUCUAACCCUUUCAUGCCAGUGAAGGAUCCCUCCCAAACUACUGAAGCUCCAACUACUGCAGCUGCAACUACUACAGAAGCAACUUCAUCCACUGCCUCAAAGCUUCCUCCAGUGAAGGAUCCCUCCCCAACUACUGAAGCUCCAACUACUGCAGCUCCAACUACUACAGAAGCAACUUCAUCCACUGCCUCUAAGCUUCCUCCACAAAAUCAGCAGCAGCAACAGUUGAUGAAGCAGCAACAGUUGAUGCAGUCUUACUUCAUGCACCCAGGAUACUCUAACCCUUUCAUGCCAGUGAAGGAUCCCUCCCAAACUGCAGAAGCAGCUUUAUCCACUGCCUCUAUGCUUCCUCCACAAAAUCAGCAACAGUUGAUGCAGCAGCAACAGUUGAAGCAGUCUUACUUCAUGCACCCAGGAUACUCUAACCCUUUCAUGCCAGUGAAGGAUCCCUCCCAAACUACUGAAGCUCCAACUACUGCAGCUCCAACUACUACAGAAGCAACUUCAUCCACUGCCUCUAAGCUUCCUCCACAAAAUCAGCAGCAGCAACAGUUGAAGCAGCAACAGUUUAUGCAGUCUUACUUCAUGCACCCAGGAUACUCUAACCCUUUCAUGCCAGUGAAGGAUCCCUCCCAAACUACAGAAGCAACUUCAUCCACUGCC